rnacentral:tRNA from 1 species
GAGACAUUGGUGUAACGGUCAGCACGGCAGGUUGUGGACCUGUCGGCAGGGGUUCGACUCCCCUAUGUCUCC